UUCGAAUUGUUGGUGAAAGCUCCGCUCUGAUUGUCACAUGGGGAAGGGUUCAUAGAGUCUUUAUUUGUUGUUGUUUUAUUUAAAUUAAAUGUGCGUGUAUAUAUUUUAUAAAAGGAAUUUUGUACAAGUGAUAUUUACUACUCAAUUUUAUUAGUAGUGUUUUUUUUAAUGAAGAAUGUAACACCUUGAGCCAAUAUUUCAUAAUUCAUUUCGAC
rnacentral:lncRNA from 1 species